GAAGAAGAUAUUGAACAGAACUGGACCUAGAACUGAGUCCUGAGGAACCCCACUUGAUAUGCCCUUCCAGGUUGACUGUGAACCACUGACAACUACUCUCUGAGAAUGCUUUUCCAACCACUUAUACACCCACCCUAUAGUAGCUCCACCUAGAUUGUAUUUCCCUAGUUUGUUUAUGAGAAGGUCAUGUGAGACAGUAUCAAAAGCCUUACUAAGAUAUACCACAUCUACCACUCCCCCCACAUCCAUAAGGCUUGUUACCCUGUCAAAGAAAGCUAUUAGGUUGGUUUGACAUGAUUGGUUCUUGACAAUCCACGCUGACUGUUCCUUAUCACCUUAUUAUCUUCUAGGUGUCUGCAAGCUGAUUGGGUAAUUAUUUGCUCCAUUUUUUUCUGGGUACUGAAAUUUGUAGUAAGUGAGUAAUGCCUACAUACUGAAGCAAAGGCUGCAGCCAGGAAGAGGCCAUUUAAAGAUUUCUCUUAGCAUUUUGUUUUUUCUCCAUUUUUCAAAUCAUUUUGCCAUUUUGCUCUAUUUUUGAACAGGUUACAGAAUUAAGAACACUGCAGGAAACUGAAAGCUGCAACAAAGCCAUAGGUUACAUGCAGAAGGAUGAAUGAAGGAGACCUGCUGAAGAUAGCAUGGCAGGAGAAGGUGGUGAGAAAGAGACCCCCAAGAAAGUGAUGGAUGGAUUGCAUCAGAGAAAAUGGAUCUUAGUGCAGCCUUGGACAAACAAAGGGAUGGAUAAGCACACUAAGAAGAAGAAACUAUCCAGA